AGUGAACGCUGGCGGUAGGCCUAACGCAUGCAAGUCGAACGGCAGCACAGUAAGAGCUUGCUCUUACGGGUGGCGAGUGGCGGACGGGUGAGGAAUACAUCGGAAUCUACUUUUUCGUGGGGGAUAACGUAGGGAAACUUACGCUAAUACCGCAUACGACCUACGGGUGAAAGCAGGGGAUCUUCGGACCUUGCGCGAUUGAAUGAGCCGAUGUCGGAUUAGCUAGUUGGCGGGGUAAAGGCCAACCAAGGCGACGAUCGGUAGUUGUCCUGAGAGGAUGAUCAGCCACACUGGAACUGAGACACGGUCCAGACUCCUACGGGAGGAAGCAGUGGGGAAUAUUGGACAAUGGGCGCAAGCCUGAUCCAGCCAUACCGCGUAGGUGAAGAAGGCCUUCGGGUUGUAAAGCCCUUUUGUUGGGAAAGAAAAGCAGCAGGUUAAUACCCCGCUGUUCUGACGGUACCCAAAGAAUAAGCACCGGCUAACUUCGUG
rnacentral:rRNA from 1 species